AUUGAACGCUGGCGGCAUGCCUUACACAUGCAAGUCGAACGGCAGCACGGGAGCAAUCCUGGUGGCGAGUGGCGAACGGGUGAGUAAUACAUCGGAACGUGCCCAGUAGUGGGGGAUAGCCCGGCGACAGCCGGAUUAAUACCGCAUACGACCUGAGGGUGAAAGCGGGGGAUCGCAAGACCUCGCGCUAUUGGAGCGGCCGAUGUCAGAUUAGCUAGUUGGUGGGGUAAAGGCCUACCAAGGCGACGAUCUGUAGCUGGUCUGAGAGGACGACCAGCCACACUGGGACUGAGACACGGCCCAGACUCCUACGGGAGGCAGCAGUGGGGAAUUUUGGACAAUGGGCGCAAGCCUGAUCCAGCCAUGCCGCGUGCGGGAAGAAGGCCUUCGGGUUGUAAACCGCUUUUGUCAGGGAAGAAACGCACUGAGAUAAUACCUCGGUGUAAUGACGGUACCUGAAGAAUAAGCACCGGCUAACUACGUGCCAGCAGCCGCCGCAGUAA
rnacentral:rRNA from 1 species